AGCGAACGCUGGCGGCAGGCUUAACACAUGCAAGUCGAGCGGGCGUAGCAAUACGUCAGCGGCAGACGGGUGAGUAACGCGUGGGAACGUACCUUUUGGUUCGGAACAACUGAGGGAAACUUCAGCUAAUACCGGAUAAGCCCUUACGGGGAAAGAUUUAUCGCCGAAAGAUCGGCCCGCGUCUGAUUAGCUAGUUGGUGAGGUAACGGCUCACCAAGGCGACGAUCAGUAGCUGGUCUGAGAGGAUGAUCAGCCACAUUGGGACUGAGACACGGCCCAAACUCCUACGGGAGGCAGCAGUGGGGAAUAUUGGACAAUGGGCGCAAGCCUGAUCCAGCCAUGCCGCGUGAGUGAUGAAGGCCCUAGGGUUGUAAAGCUCUUUUGUGCGGGAAGAUAAUGACGGUACCGCAAGAAUAAGCCCCGGCUAACUUCGUGCCAGCAGCCGCGGUAAUACGAAGGGGGCUAGCGUUGCUCGGAAUCACUGGGCGUAAAGGGUGCGUAGGCGGGUCUUUAAGUCAGGGGUGAAAUCCUGGAGCUCAACUCCAGAACUGCCUUUGAUACUGAGGAUCUUGAGUUCGGGAGAGGUGAGUGGAACUGCGAGUGUAGAGGUGAAAUUCGUAGAUAUUCGCAAGAACACCAGUGGCGAAGGCGGCUCACUGGCCCGAUACUGACGCUGAGGCACGAAAGCGUGGGGAGCAAACAGG
rnacentral:rRNA from 1 species